UACGAAGGGGGCUAGCGUUGUUCGGAAUUACUGGGCGUAAAGCGCACAUAGGCGGGUUUUUAAGUCAGGGGUGAAAUCCUGGAGCUCAACUCCAGAACUGCCUUUGAUACUGGCAACCUAGAGACUGGAAGAGGUUAGUGGAAUUCCCAGUGUAGAGGUGAAAUUCGUAGAUAUUGGGAAGAACACCAGUGGCGAAGGCGGCUAACUGGUCCAGCACUGACGCUGAGGUGCGAAAGCGUGGGGAGCAAACAGG
rnacentral:rRNA from 1 species